rnacentral:rRNA from 1 species
GACGUAGGGGGCUAGCGUUGUCCGGAAUCAUUGGGCGUAAAGAGCGUGUAGGCGGCUCGGUAAGUCCGCUCUGAAAGCCCGGGGCUCAACCCCGGGAGGCGGGCGGAUACUGUCGGGCUAGAGUCCGGAAGAGGCGAGUGGAAUUCCUGGUGUAGCGGUGAAAUGCGCAGAUAUCAGGAGGAACACCAAUGGCGAAGGCAGCUCGCUGGGACGGUACUGACGCUGAGACGCGAAAGCGUGGGGAGCAAACAGG